AACCUGGUUGAUCCUGCCAGUAAUUAUAUGCUUGUCUCAAAGAUUAACCCAUGCAUGUCUAAGAAUAAAUAUCUUUAUUCUGUGAAUCUGCGCACAGCUCAUUAUAUCAGCAAUAAUUUAUUUGAUGGUACCUUACUACAUGGAUACCCGUAGUAAUUCUAGAGCUAAUACAUGCACAAAAUCCUGACUUUUUGAAAGGAUGUAUUUAUUAGAUACCAAAUCAAUCCAGUUUCGGCUGGUUUUUUGAUGAUUCAUAAUAACUGUUCGAAUCGCAUGACCUCGUGUCGGCGAUAGUUCAUUCAAAUUUCUGCCCUAUCAACUUUCGAUGGUAGUGUAGUGGACUACCAUGGUGUUAACGGGUGACGGAGAAUUAGGGUUUGAAUCCGGAGAGGGAGCCUGAGAAACGGCUACCACAUCCAAGGAAGGCAGCAGGGGCGCAAAUUGGCCAAUCCUGACACAGGGAGCCAGUGACAAUAAAUAACAAUACCGAGCCUUUUUAGGUUUGGUAAUUGGAAUGAGUACAAUUUAAAUACCUUAACGAUAAUCCACUGGAGGGAAAGUCUGGUGCCAGCAGCCGCGGUAAUUCCAGCUCCAGUAGCGUNUAUUAAAGUUGUUGCAGUUAAAAAGCUCGUAGUUGGAUUUCUGAUGUGACGUGCCCGGCCCGCUCGGGAUUUCCGAUGUGUGUGCUGGUGCGUGUCCAUCAUCCUUCUAGAGAAACGCGACUCCCGCUAUGCGGUGUGGGUGCGUCGCUCUAGAUCUUUUACUUUGAAAAAAUUAGAGUGUUUAAAGCAGGCUUGCGCUUAUGAAUACAUUAGCAUGGAAUAAUAAUAUAGGACUUCGGCCUAUUUAUUGGUUUCUGGACGAAGUAAUGAUUGAUAGGGAUAGUUGGGGGUGCUUCUAUUAUGUAGUCAGAGGUGAAAUUCUUGGAUUUACAUAAGAGAAACUUAUGCGAAAGCAUUCACCAAGGAUGUCUUCUUUAAUCAAGAACGAAAGUUGAGGGAUCGAAGACGAUCAGAUACCGUCGUAGUCUCAACCAUAAACUAUACCGACUAAGGAUGAGUGAACGUUGCAUUUUCGACUUCAUUCGCACUUUGUGAGAAAUCAAAGUCUUUGGGUUCCGGGGGGAGUAUGGUCGCAAGGCUGAAACUUAAAGGAAUUGACGGAAGGGCACCACCAGGAAGUGGAGCCUGCGGCUUAAUUUGACUCAACACGGGAAAACUUACCAGGUCCAGACUCCGUAAGGAUUGACAGAUUGAAGAUCUUUCUUAAUUUGGAGGGUGGUGGUGCAUGGCCGUUCGCAGUUGGUGGAGUGAUUUGUCUGGUUAAUUCCGUUAACGAACGAGACCUCGACCUGCUAAUUAUGUGUGAUCAACCUCACGGUUUUUCUCUACUUCUUAGAGGGACUAUCGGUGAUUAUCCGGAGGAAGUUCGAGGCA
rnacentral:rRNA from 1 species